rnacentral:rRNA from 1 species
GGGUUGUGAGGUUAAGCGACUAAGCGUACACGGUGGAUGCCCUGGCAGUCAGAGGCGAUGAAGGACGUGCUAAUCUGCGAUAAGCGUCGGUGAGGUGAUAUGAACCGUUAUAACCGGCGAUUUCCGAAUGGGGAAACCCAGUGUGUUUCGACACACUAUCAUUAACUGAAUCCAUAGGUUAAUGAGGCGAACCGGGGGAACUGAAACAUCUAAGUACCCCGAGGAAAAGAAAUCAACCGAGAUUCCCCCAGUAGCGGCGAGCGAACGGGGAGGAGCCCAGAGCCUGAAUCAGUGUGUGUGUUAGUGGAAGCGUCUGGAAAGGCGCGCGAUACAGGGUGACAGCCCCGUACACAAAAAUGCACAUAUUGUGAGCUCGAUGAGUAGGGCGGGACACGUGGUAUCCUGUCUGAAUAUGGGGGGACCAUCCUCCAAGGCUAAAUACUCCUGACUGACCGAUAGUGAACCAGUACCGUGAGGGAAAGGCGAAAAGAACCCCGGCGAGGGGAGUGAAAAAGAACCUGAAACCGUGUACGUACAAGCAGUGGGAGCCUCUUAAUGGGGUGACUGCGUACCUUUUGUAUAAUGGGUCAGCGACUUAUAUUCUGUAGCAAGGUUAACCGAAUAGGGGAGCCGAAGGGAAACCGAGUCUUAACUGGGCGUUAAGUUGCAGGGUAUAGACCCGAAACCCGGUGAUCUAGCCAUGGGCAGGUUGAAGGUUGGGUAACACU